AUGCCACCAGAAUUCCUUAAUGAAGGCAAAAUCUCACCUAAGAAUGACGUCUUCGGUUUCGGUGUUGUAAUGAUCGAGAUAAUGGCAGGACCUGCAGGUUACUCCAAUUCUUUUGAAAUGCAUGAUGUGGCACAAUUAAUGCAGCAGGUACUUACCAAUUGUACAAUGAUUGAAGCCACAUCGAAUAACCGAUCAGAGGAAUUACGUCAGGUGAAAACGUGUAUCGAAUUAGCAAUGCGUUGUGUGGAUUCAGAAAGAGACAAUAGGCCCUCUGUAGCAGAUAUCCUAGAUACCCUGAAUAAGACAGAAACUCAUAUUCCCAAGAGACAGCGUUGCUCUCAAAUCAGUGUUCCCGGGCUGGAGAGGGCCAAGAAGAGGAAGAAGACGGGAGGGAACUUGAAGGGGAUUGCAAAAGAACGUACCCAUUUCACUGUCAUGCAAGAAAAUGCCCCUAGUCUGCUUGAAAACAGGGAUCACCGGGAAACAUCAGCAAAGAUAGGAGCAGAAGUCGUAGGGAGGGAAAUGGAAAAACAGGAAAUUAUGGCUCAUUUAUCUGGGAGUACCACACAAGAGAUCACCUUCCUUUCGAUAUAUGGUAUUGGAGGCAUUGGGAAGACAACCAUGGCACAAUUUGUUUUCAAUGAUUUCCAGUUCAAAGAGUACUCUCGGGUUUGGACCUAUGUGUCCCAGACAUUUGAUUUAAAGAAAAUUGGGAAUUCUAUAAUAACACAACUAUCCGGUAGCAAGAGUAUGCAUACUGACCUUCCGAUGAUAGAAAAUAGCCUACAAAAGCUCCUUUCUGGUAAGAGGGUUCUAAUCAUCUUAGAUGACCUGUGGGAGAGGGAAUCCCCUCAGUUAAAAAAGUUGGAGAGUAUGCUAAAUCUGGGUGAAGGCGGCAAAUUGGUGGUGGUAGUAACCACAUGA
rnacentral:rRNA from 1 species